rnacentral:rRNA from 1 species
GAUGAACGCUGGCGGCGUGCCUAAUACAUGCAAGUCGGGCGAACGGACGAGAAGCUUGCUUCUCUGAUGUUAGCGGCGGACGGGUGAGUAACACGUGGAUAACCUACCUAUAAGACUGGGAUAACUUCGGGAAACCGUAGCUAAUACCGGAUAAUAUUUUGAACCGCAUGGUUCAAAAGUGAAAGACGGUCUUGCUGUCACUUAUAGAUGGAUCCGCGCUGCAUUAGCUAGUUGGUAAGGUAACGGCUUACCAAGGCAACGAUGCAUAGCCGACCUGAGAGGGUGAUAGGCCACACUGGAACUGAGACACGGUCCAGACUCCUGCGGGAGGCAGCAGUAGGGAAUCGUACGCAAAGGGCGAAAGCCUGCCGGGGCAACGCCGCGUGAGUGAUGAAGGUCUUCGGAUCGUAAAACUCUGUUAUUAGGGAAGAACAUAUGUGUAAGUAACUGUGCACAGCUUGACGGUACCUAAUCAGAAAGCCACGGCUAACUACGUG